UCAUGUUGUUUGAUUCUAUAUAAGUUAGUAUAUUCACCUUUAUUUUUUCUAAGAUUCAAUAAAUUUCCCUCGUAUUCUCCUCGUUCAUAAAGAAAAAUAUAAACAAUUGAAAUAAAUUAAUCCUAAUGUUGGUGCAAAGGUUUCGCUACGUGACGGGGGCAGUUUGCCCCAUAACAAAUCCAUAUAGACAAUUUGAGGGCGCAGCCCUGUGAUGUCAGAGUUUCUUCCAACUAAAUAUUGAACCAUUAUUGGCCCUCUAAUUUCCAUUUGGUCUAUUUUUG
rnacentral:lncRNA from 1 species